rnacentral:sRNA from 1 species
CAUAAAAGAUUGGAGUAUCUUUAAAUAGAUUCCAGUUUUCAAGGUAGACUUUUCUAAGGUUAUAUUGAGUGAGGAGAUUUGUUUUUAAUUCUAAAGUGCAUUUUAUCUUUUGGGGGAAUGUUUAUGUGCGUCUCAUUGGUAAUUUGGAAAUUGUCUUUUCUGUUACGAAAAUGUCAGUGUGUAGUGCAUGGUUUAGGAUUUAUAGCUGUAGGUGGUGAUGAAGCAGAAUGUGAAUAUUGCUUGUACCUAGGGUUUGUUCUUUUGAGUUCUGAAUGUUAAGGCGUUUGCUGUUUCUUUCAUCAUUUAAAAUGGGCAUUAUUCCCAAAUAUUCAAGCUUUGAUUUGCACUAGAAUAAAGUAUUUAUUUCCUUAAAGAUUUAACAGAGGCUUUGGAUGAAGAUGCAGACCCCACAAAAUCUGCACUGUCUGCAGUUGCAUCUUUGGCAGCUGCAUGGCCACAGUUACACCAGGGCUGCAGUUUGAAAAGUUUGGAUCUUGAUAGCUGCACUCUUUCAGAAAUCCUCAGACUGCACAUCUUAGCUUCAGGUGCUGAUGUAACAUCAGCAAAUGCAAAGUAUAGAUAUCAAAAACGAGGAGGAUUUGAUGCUACAGAUGAUGCUUGUAUGGAGCUUCGUUUGAGCAAUCCCAGUCUAGUGAAGAAACUGUCAAGCACCUCAGUGUAUGAUUUGACACCAGGAGAAAAAAUGAAGAUACUCCAUGCUCUCUGU